UUUCUCCAGUAUUGGUUUACACCAUGUUUUAAAAUAAUUAAACCUUUACUGGCAAGUUCCACCUGAACUAUGUCUAAAAUAAAUAAACACUCGCAAAUCAACCUGGACUCUGUGAAGCAGAGUAAUGUAAUUACGAUGCCAUUGAGCUUCCAGUCCCACCCAUUGCAUAAGCCCAUCAAAAAAAUUGCUGUACUAAUUUACACUGCUUUCUUGUUCCAU